rnacentral:sRNA from 1 species
AAUCACUGAGCAUUUUACGAACCAUAUUCACAUCUUCACGAAGAUGAUAGUACGGAUUCU